UUUCAUUCCUGAACAUAAACUAAAAUUAUAACCGCGUAGAGUAGGUUAGCAUGGCCCCUGCGCAAGUACGACGCGCAAAUACAUGAAGUGGUCCAAACAUUU
rnacentral:snRNA from 1 species